CGCGGCACGCGCGGCAAUCGCUGCAUAAGGCGGUUGCAUCACCUCAGAGCCCACAGGCGGCUUCGGCAGCCACCACGUCCAGCCUUGUCUGCAGCGCAGGAGGCGCGGGAGGCAGCCUCUGUGUCCAUCAGCGGAGGCCAGCAGUGCUCACGGGACAGAGGAUUACCACCUGGGUCACCAACGGGGGCUUCUUCAACUUAGCAAAACAACACCAGGCUCUCUACGACUGAGGUGGGAAGAGCCUCAGAAUAUAUUGGAAGUUACAGAGCUAGGUAGAAUAGCUACCGGUUGUGCCCACAUUUCUGGAGAGUACAAAAGACCGAAGACUGAGGCAUUCUCGUGGCGGCUCCAGGGGAAGGUAAACGGGGUGCUUGGAAGAGCGGCGCGGGAGGGAGAAUUUUCACAGAAUACCCUUUUGUUCUGUUUGAAUCUGGAGUAAUGAGAAUGUAUCACCUACUUAAAAAUGCACACAACAGUUUUAUGGAUUUUUUUGGCUUUUCUUGGUUUGUUUUUGCGUAUAUAUAUUGCAGUGGCGGGGAUCAAACCCAGGCCCUCGGGCCUGCAAAGCACAGUCUACAUUCUCCAUCUUUGAAUAUUAUAUUAAAGGAAGUAAAAACAAGGAUUAAAAUGAAC
rnacentral:lncRNA from 1 species